rnacentral:rRNA from 1 species
AACGAACGCUGGCGGCAUGCCUAACACAUGCAAGUCGAACGAGACCUUCGGGUCUAGUGGCGCACGGGUGCGUAACGCGUGGGAACCUGCCCUUAGGUUCGGAAUAACUCCCCGAAAGGGGUGCUAAUACCGGAUAAUGUCUUCGGACCAAAGAUUUAUCGCCUUUGGAUGGGCCCGCGUUGGAUUAGCUAGUUGGUAGGGUAAAAGCCUACCAAGGCGACGAUCCAUAGCUGGUCUGAGAGGAUGAUCAGCCACACUGGGACUGAGAAACGGCCCAGACUCCUACGGGAGGCAGCAGUGGGGAAUAUUGGACAAUGGGCGAAAGCCUGAUCCAGCAAUGCCGCGUGAGUGAUGAAGGCCUUAGGGUUGUAAAGCUCUUUUACCCGGGAUGAUAAUGACAGUACCGGGAGAAUAAGCUCCGGCUAACUCCGU